AAAGANUUUAUAUCUUGCUGCGAACGGCUCAUUAAAUCAGUUAUAAUCUACUUGAUUGUAAAAUCUACAUGGAUAACUGUAGUAAUUCUAGAGCUAAUACAUGCAAAAAAUCCUGACUGUUAUAGAAAGGAUGUAUUUAUUAGGUACAAAAUCAAUGCUGGCACUUGUGUCAGGUUUAUUGAUGAUUCAUAAUAACUAAACGAAGCGCACGACCUUGAGUUGGCGCUGAUACAAACGAGUUUCUGCCCUAUCAACUUUCGAUGGUAGUAUAGAGGACUACCAUGGUUUCAACGGGUAGGGGNAU
rnacentral:rRNA from 1 species